rnacentral:rRNA from 1 species
AACGAACGCUGGCGGCAUGCCUAACACAUGCAAGUCGAACGAGACCUUCGGGUCUAGUGGCGCACGGGUGCGUAACGCGUGGGAACCUGCCCUUAGGUUCGGAAUAACUCCCCGAAAGGGGUGCUAAUACCGGAUAAUGUCUUCGGACCAAAGAUUUAUCGCCUUUGGAUGGGCCCGCGUUGGAUUAGCUAGUUGGUAGGGUAAAAGCCUACCAAGGCGACGAUCCAUAGCUGGUCUGAGAGGAUGGUCAGCCACACUGGGACUGAGACGCGGCCCAGACUCCUACGGGAGGCAGCAGUGGGGGAUGUUGGACAGUGGGCGGAAGCCUGAUGCAGCUAUGCCGCGUGAGUGAUGAAGGCCUUAGGGUUGUAAAGCUCUUUUACCCGGGAUGAUAAUGACAGUACCGGGAGAAUAAGCUCCGGCUAACUCCGUG